rnacentral:misc_RNA from 1 species
GAUACACAACUAAAUAAUAAGCAUUAUAGUCACAAACUAAGGCACAAAAUGGCAAAUGGUACAAAGAACAAACCAAAUUUCCAAAGGUGGACAAAAGUUUAUUUUGCACUAGCCGUAAGUUAUGCACAUGCAAACAUGUAAAGCAAACUUUUCAACAAUCUUAUUUACUUUGUUUCAAUAAAGAAUAUGAUCAGAUCCAGGCUAAC